UCCGGUUUGUCACCGGCAGUCCCAUUAGAGUGCCCAACUGAAUGUAGCAACUAAUGGCAAGGGUUGCGCUCGUUGCGGGACUUAACCCAACACCUCACGGCACGAGCUGACGACAGCCAUGCAGCACCUGUACAAACUCACCUUGCGGUACCCCGACUUUCAUCAGGUUUAGUUUGCAUUUCAAGCCUAGGUAAGGUUCUUCGCGUUGCGUCGAAUUAAACCACAUGCUCCACUGCUUGUGCGGGCCCCCGUCAAUUCCUUUGAGUUUCAACCUUGCGAUUGUACUUCCCAGGUGGAAUACUUAUUGCGUUAGCUUGGAUACUGAUUUUUAAAAAAACCAACAUCUAGUAUUCAUCGUUUAGGGUGUGGACUAC
rnacentral:misc_RNA from 1 species